rnacentral:rRNA from 1 species
GUUCUUUUUAGAAGCCCGACCCUUUCAUUUCCACACACUGUGAACACACUUCUUUUUACACCCAUAUUUAUAAACUCACAAGUCUAUAAGAAUGUUUAAAAGUCUCUUAAUUGAGCAUAAAGUUAUAAUACAACUUUCGGCAACGGAUCUCUUGGCUCUCGCAUCGAUGAAGAACGCAGCGAAAUGCGAUACGUAAUGUGAAUUGCAGAAUUCAGUGAAUCAUCGAAUCUUUGAACGCACCUUGCACUCUUUGGUAUUCCGAAGAGUAUGUCUGUUUGAGUGUCAUGAAACUCUCAACCCCCCUGUUUUGUAACGAAGCAGGCGCGGGCUUGGAUUAUGGCUGCUGCAAGAUCCUUUAAGUAGAAUCUGGCUCAGCUGAAAUAUACGAGCAAUCCAGUUUGAAUAUUAACGGCUUGACUCGGCGUAAUAGCUUUAUUUCGCUGAGGACGUUUCAUAUCAAGAUAGUGGUGCUUCUAACGCGGUUUAAAUCUUGAUUUAACCACCUUAAGCUUUAGACCUCAAAUCAGUCAGGACUACCCGCUGAACUUAAGCAUAUCAAUAAGCGGAGGAAAAGAAACUAACAAGGAUUCCCCUAGUAACGGCGAGUGAAGUGGGAAAAGCUCAACUUUGAAAUCUGGCUGCUUUGCAGUCCGAGUUGUAGUCUCGAGAAAUGCUUUCCGCGUUAAACCGUGUAUGAGUCUGUUGGAACACAGCGUCAUAGAGGGUGAGAACCCCGUUCAUGACACGGCUUUUAAUGCUUUGUGAUACAUUUUCGAUGAGUCGAGUUGUUUGGGAAUGCAGCUCAAAUUGGGUGGUAAAUUCCAUCUAAAGCUAAAUAUUGGCGAGAGACCGAUAGCAAACAAGUACCGUGAGGGAAAGAUGAAAAGCACUUUGGAAAGAGAGUUAAAAGUACGUGAAAUUGUCGAAAGGGAAACGCUUGAAGUC